CCAAAAAACUGAAAAGAUGGGCUACAUAGGCUAGCUCAGGUGGCAAUCGCUAAGCAAAAACAAAACACAAGGGCGUGCAGUCCUGGGAAACAGCAACACUGAGAAAUCUGCCCUCUGAAACUGACAAAGAUCGGCAACACACGUAAGGAAAGGUGCCAAUCUUGCAAACAAAAACACAAACACACAGACACUGAGGGAAGUGGAGACCUGGGGAAAAAGCAACACUGAGAAAUCCACCCUCUGAAACUGACGAAGAUGGGCAACAGAGGCUAGCUGAGGUGGCAAUCGCUAAGCAAAAGAAACACACAAGGGCGUGGAGACCUGGGGAAAAAGCAACACUGAGAAAUCCACCCUCUGAAACUGACGAAGAUGGGCAACAGAGGCUACCUCAGGUGGCAAUGUGUAAGCAAAAACAAAACACAAGGGCGUGGAGACCUGGCGAAAAAGCGACACCGAGAAAUCUACCCUCUGAAACUGACCAAGAUGGGCAAGAGAGGCUGGCUUCAGGUGGCAAACUUUAAGCACAAACAAAACAAAGGGCGUGCAGACCUGUGCAAAAAGUGACACUGAGAAAUCGACCUUCCGAAACUGACGAACAUGGGCAAGAGAGGCUAGCUCAAAUGGCAACCUUUAAGCAGAAAAUAACAAGACACAAGUGCGUGGAGGUCUGGCGAAACAGCAACACUGAGAAAUCUACCAUCUGAAACUGAGGAAGCAGGGCAACAGAGGCUAGCUCAGGCGACAAUAUUUAAGCAAAAAAGAAAAAAAAAGGCAAGGGAGUGGAGACCUUGGGAAACAGCAACCCUGAAAAAUGUACCCUCUGAAACUGACAAAGAUUGGCAACACACGUCAGCUCAGGUGCCAAUCUUGCAAAGAAAACACACACACACAGACACUGAGGGACGUGGAGACCCUGGAAAAAGGAACACUGAGAAAUCUACCCUCUGAAACUGAAGAAGAUGGGCAACAGAGGCUAGCUCAGGUCCAAUAUUUGAGCAAAAAGAACACAUAAGGGCGUGGAGACCUUGGGAAAGAUC
rnacentral:lncRNA from 1 species